rnacentral:precursor_RNA from 12 species
UAUAGUGAGUGAAAAUGAUCUACUUAAAGUAGUUUUCACUAAUACAGUUGGCAUGUCAUGUAUCUGUCACUGGGUUAGUGAUUACUGCUUUGGAAGAUUACUUCGACUAUUAUUAUUA